rnacentral:rRNA from 1 species
UACAGAGGGGGCAAGCGUUGUUCGGAAUUACUGGGCGUAAAGAGCGUGUAGGCGGUCCGGUAAGUCCGCUGUGAAAGUCGGGGGCUCAACCCUCGAAUGCCGGUGGAUACUGUCGGGCUAGAGUACGGAAGAGGCGAGUGGAAUUCCUGGUGUAGCGGUGAAAUGCGCAGAUAUCAGGAGGAACACCUAUUGCGAAGGCAGCUCGCUGGGACGUAACUGACGCUGAGACGCGAAAGCGUGGGGAGCAAACAGG